rnacentral:tRNA from 1 species
ACCUGGGUGGCUCAGUCGGUUGAGCAUCUGACUUCGGCUCAGGUCACGAUCUCACGGUUUGUGGGUUCCAGCCCCACAUCGGGCU